rnacentral:sRNA from 1 species
CAAGAGCGAGGAGAAGCGGGAAAAGAUGAAACGGACCCUAAUCCUGCGGCUGAAGCGCGUCCCCAGCAUUCAUACGUUGCAUGAUGAGUUCUCAUCAGCUUACACAGCUACUGGAAGUUUAAAAGAUUGGAAGACCCGUUUGAGCUACUUCUUGCAAAAUUCCUCUACUCCUGGGAAGCCCAAAACCGGCAAAAAAAGCAAACAGCAAGCUUUCAUCAAGCCUUCUCCUGAGGAAGCACAGCUGUGGUCAGAAGCAUUUGACGAGCUGCUAGCCAGCAAAUAUGGUCUUGCUGCAUUCAGGGCUUUUUUAAAGUCGGAAUUCUGUGAAGAAAA